ensembl:misc_RNA Metazoa_SRP Metazoan signal recognition particle RNA
GCCAGGCAUGGUGGUGCAUGCCUGUAGUCUCAGCUACUUGGAAGGCUGAGGCAGGAGGAUUGCUUGAGCCCAGGAAGUUGAGGCUGCAGUGAGCUAUGAUUACACCACUGCCCUCCAGCCUGGGUGACAGAGCAAGACCCUGUCUCAA